ensembl:snRNA U6 U6 spliceosomal RNA
GUACUCACUUCAGCGGCAUAUACACAAAAAUUGGAAACACACAGAAAAGAUGAGCAGGCUCCCUGCACAAGGAUGACACGCAAACUGGAACAUUCCAUCUUUUU